rnacentral:lncRNA from 1 species
CAAUUAUAUCUUUAGUUUAAAAAAAAUCAUCCGUGCGAAAGCACGGGCCAUCCUCUAGUUGGUUAUUAAACUAACUUGGUUUUAUUGAGUCUCCAACUAGGGUAUUUAUACAGAGAACAAAAGACAUAUGAUAAAUUUAUCUCCUAAAACAAUGAUUUCUUAACCUUAUCACAAUAGGAAUAUAAAUCAUAAUAACGAUAUGUCCUUAUCACAAAUACUAGAAUAUUCUUCGCCUUGAGCUUCACGGAUUCACUUCAAUAAUGGACUUUCACGGUCCAUAGUAGUUGGUCCGCAAGAUAUACAUCUUGCUCCCCAAGAUAUCUCCAAUACUCCCCCGCACGACAAACUUGGUGUACAACGCAAACUUUGCAACCAUAAAACGUAACACGUAUGUCGUGGACAACUUGUCAAGGGUAGAGAAAUCAUGUCAACAAGCUCUUUAGGGUAAAAACUGCAAUCUUGAAAAGAAGAGUGGAACUUCAAAUUGUCUUCGGUCUUGGUAAAAGGGAAUAACAACAUCCCAUGGGUGCAAGUCCUGCAACUCCACAAAUAAUUGUUCUAAUCUCGGACAGCCCAUAAAUUGGACUAAUAAUAAUAACCGAAAACAUAAGCAUUCCAAUUAACUCCCCUAAUGAUUCAACGAUAAUCAAACUCCUCCAUAUUGGUAAAACUAUUACCAUACUUUCUUUUCUUUUUCUUCACGUCAUCUUCAUCGUCUGGUUUGUCUUCAUCCCCAUAAUCUUCUCCCAUGAAUAUCACCAUGAUCUCUUUUGAAUUUAAGACCACAAAAGUAAUUUCUAGUGCGGAAGCCUUUAGUUUUGAUCCACUAGGAUCGACUGCUCUGAUACCAUGUAGAAUUGGUUAUUGAACUAACUUAGUUUUAUUGAUUCUCCAACUAGGGUAUUUAUACAAAGAACAAAAGACAUAUGAUAAACAUUAUCUCCUAAGACAAUGAUUACUAAACCUUAUCACA